GAUGAUCAAAAAACCAUCCCAGAUACUGAUGGAGUUCAUUUGGAAUUGGAUGGAGAGCUGUACGCAACACGGCUCUACAAGCAAAGAAUUGACCAUCCCUCGCCGAAGAAGCUCUCUGUGCAGCAACCUUCCACAUAAAUAAAAAACCGCAUCAGUGCAACGUUGAAAUUUACUUGAGCAUAUCACCGGUGGACAGGCAGAGCCAUAUCCAGCAGUAUCGCUUUACACACAAUAUCCUGGGGUACGGCACCGGUACAACAUCUCGGACGUAACCAGAGCUUGUUGCGGUGGCUGGAGUUACACGCCCGCAUGUAGAGAACAGGAUCGGAUCCAGCUCGGAUACGAACGGGCGCAGAGCCGUUUAGGGGUAUCGGAUGGCACGUUCGUAACACGACACCCAGGUCUUCUGAGAGGUUGCUGGUUACUGUCAAUGAAAUUUAUGGAGGAAACCUUCUAGCCCAGCAGAUUCGUCCAAAAUUCUCUUGGAGACUAGCC